rnacentral:misc_RNA from 1 species
GAUGAAGAACGUAGCGAAAUGCGAUAAGUAAUGUGAAUUGCAGAAUUCAGUGAAUCAUCGAAUCUUUGAACGCACAUUGCGCCCGGCAGUAUUCUGGCGGGCAUGCCUGUUCGAGCGUCAUUUCAACCAUCAAGCCCUGCUUGCGUUGGGGUCCUGCGGCUGCCCGCAGGCCCUGAAAACCAGUGGCGGGCUCGCUAGUCACACCGAGCGCAGUAAUACAUCUCGCUUUGGGCGUGCGNNGGGUUCUUGCCGUUAAACACCCCCUUUUUACCAAGGUUGACCUCGGAUCAGGUAGGAAUACCCGCUGAACUUAAGCAUAUCAAUAAGCGGAGGA